CCUGCGUGGAAAGCUGGAGUGUUAACCACUCGACCAAUCCACCCAUGUACAGUACAGUACCCAAUCCCUGUUCAGAGCAGGAGGUUUAUUUCUUUAAGUGUAUAUUUUGUAUCCGUCAUUAAUGUGAUUUUCGUUGGAUUCCCUUCAUGAUAGAUUCUACUUUACUCAUUAUGCAUGUGACAUGUCAUAAAGUUAUUUGCUACCCUUAUAACCUAUAUACUAGUAUCGUACUUGUGAUUUGUGCUAUAGUUAUAUACUACCUUACACAUCGUACUUGUGAUUUGUGCUAUAGUUAUCACCCUUUAUUGCAUAUUCACUAUAUUUUACUAUACACAUGCUAUUUGUGUUAGAGUUAAGGGAUAUGUGCUUUAGCUAUAAUGGUUUAUGACACCUACCAUAUUAUACAAUAUUUACUGAUAGACUUAAGGUGAUAUAUGGGCCUGGCCUAAGUAGAGCAAUAUCUAGUGAAACCGAUUAUAUUUUGUUUGAGUGCAAGAUUAAAAUGUAUGUAUACUAUUUAAUUUAUGUUUACUUCAUGAUCUAAAAUUUCAGGCCCUAUUCCGAACCAAAGAGGACGCUUUUCCAUCUCCAACCGCAGAAUUGCAUCAGAGGUAGUUGAAGGGCACGCCAACAUCCAACAGCCCGAACACGACGGACCAAAGACGCAGAACAUCGUCAGAUCCAUCAACAGGAUAUGCCAGACCAUGCGGCCCAAGGACCCUCAAGAUCUGGAUUUUGAGGUAUCCUACAGUAAUAUUGGACGAAUGUAUUGUAAUUUAAUCAUCCCUGUUCAUUAACCCCUUCUUAAUUUGUUUUGGAUAUAUCUGUUGCAGUUUGGCGUUGUUACUUUCGCUGACUUGUCAAUUGGUUAAAGUUAUGUUCUCCUAUUUUAAUGAAGACCUUUUACACAGAUGGACAGAGACUUUCUUGAUCCACUGCACCCAAAUUCUUUCUGCGGGCCAUCACCGUCGACGGUAAGCCCCAUCUUACCUUGGCAACUGACAGACAACUCGACCUCCUCGCCAAGACCAAGACUUGUUAUAUGGAUGCCACCUUCCGUGUUGUACAUGAACCUUUUACUCAGAAUCCAUAGUUUUGUGCGUUUAGGAAACAGAUACCUUUUGUAGUCUGUUUUAUGUCUGGAAAGCGUAUUCAGAUGUUUAUGAGACUCGGGACGUUUUGCCUAUCGAUUGGGAGCGUAUACACACUGCAUCAGAUAGGUUACAGGUAAGGUGUAGAUAUAAUAUAUUUCCAAACUAAUGAAUCUUAUUGACGAUACAUGAAAGUAUUCUGUAAUGGUUAAUUGAUUAUAAUUCCAGGAUUGUUAUCCUUAAAUAAUGACACUAUUUUUUUUACAUUGUGAGGUCCUUAGAAGCAUCGACCGUCAGCUUCCAGACAGUUUCAGCUAGUAAAGGAAGCUGGUGUUUGGCAAGUCAUCCGCCAGAGGUAUUCCGACACUAUGACAGGGGAUGUGGUUUUCACUGGACACAGGUUUUCACGAGAUUGUGAAAAUAUUGUAGACUUUAUAUAAUUUUCAACUACACAAUAUACAAACUAUAGAUUUAUUAACUUUAAGACUGCCUACAUUGAGCGAGGGGAUGUGUAUGCAUAUCUACGCCAGGUUCUCUCA
rnacentral:misc_RNA from 1 species